AAGGCUUUAAGUUAAAGAAACUAAUAACCUUCAAAGCUAUAAACAAAGAAUAAUAUUAAAAUCUUUAAGCCUUA
rnacentral:tRNA from 1 species